AAUCAACGCUGGCGGCGUGCCUAACACAUGCAAGUCGAACGCGAGAGGGGCUUCGGCCCUGAUUGAGUGGCAAACGGGUGAGUAACGCGUGGGUGACCUACCUUCGAGUGGGGGAUAACGUUCCGAAAGGGACGCUAAUACCGCAUAACAUCCUGUCUUUGGACAGAUGGAGAUCAAAGCCGGGAUCGUAAGACCUGGCGCUUGAGGAGGGGCCCGCGUCCGAUUAGCUAGUUGGNGGGGUAAUGGCUCACCAAGGCAACGAUCGGUAGCCGGCCUGAGAGGGCGGACGGCCACACUGGGACUGAGACACGGCCCAGACUCCUACGGGAGCAGCAGUGGGGAAUUGUCGCAAUGGGCGCAAGCCUGACGACGCAACGCCGCGUGAAGGAUGAAGGUCUUCGGAUUGUAAACUUCUGUUGAU
rnacentral:rRNA from 1 species